CACUGUAUCAUGGCCUUGGGCAACAUUUAGCAGCGGCAGCACGCAUCACCGGUCACCACCCCAGCGCCGUCUCCACCGACGAUACCCCACCUCGCGCCAUCCCGAUGGCAGCCGGCGGCAGCGGAGGCGGGGACAUCGGUGCCGACUCGGAGCGGCGCCUAAAGAAGGCCAUGGACAAGCUCUACCACUUCCCCAAGCACAAGCCCAACAACCCCAGCACCGGCGGCUCCAGGCCCUCCUCUUCCUCCUCGGCCCCGGCUCCAAGCUCCGGAAGGACGGCGCAGGCGGGGAGGAGGUUCGGGAUGGUGCGCGGGUCGCGGCUCCCGCCGCAGGUGGCGGCCAUGGCGGCGAUGUCGCCGCCGCCGCCGUGCCGCCCCUGGGACCGCGCCGACCUCAUGCGCCGGCUCGCGUCAUUCAAGGCCAUGACCUGGUUCGCCAAGCCCAAGGUUAUUAGUCCUGUUAAUUGUGUGAGAAGAGGAUGGACUAACAUUGAGCCAGAUGUUAUAACAUGUGAAGCUUGUGGGGCACGACUCCUGUUCUCCACUCCUUCCUCGUGGACAACACAACAAGUUGAAAAGGCUGCUGCUGUUUUCAGCUUGAAGCUGGACACUGGACAUAAACUACUGUGUCCCUGGAUUGAUAACAUAUGUGAUGAAUCACUUGCCUUAUUUCCCCCCACGCCUCCUCCUGUUUUAGUUGAGAACUAUUAUGAGUGUUUCUCCUCUCUGCUACGGCUUUCAGCGCUUCCAAGAAUUUCGUGCUCUUCUCUGGAGAUCAUGAAAAAGAGGAGUCCACAGCUAGAGCAGUUCCUAUUAGAACCAUUCUCUUCAUCAGUUGUCCUUAAAGUGGGAUUUAUGCUUACUGAAGACUAUUCAAUUAAGGAUUUAGAUGAUGCUUUUCAAGAUGCUGACACAUAUUAUCAGGCACUGAAGAUUAUAAGUUUGUGUGGAUGGGAACCCCGCGUACUUCCUUAUGCUAUUGAUUGUGGAACCAAAACUCAUUCAGAUGCGAACUCUAACUCUAAAUUGGCACAACCAGAGCAAACAAGCAAGACACUGGAGGAUCGGAUCAUACUUUACUCACCUAAUGAUGUUAAUGGUGCUCCAGCACCUGCAGAUGCGAAUCAAGAAGAUCGGCAUUAUGAUCCAUUAUCAGUUGUUUUAGAUUGCCAAUUUUGUGGAGCAUGUGUUGCCUUGUGGCCUUUUUCGCUUGUAGAACGACCUCUUCGACUCUUUAAGCUGAUUUCAGAUUCUAAUAGACAAGAUGAUCAGGAUAAUGGACAUGCCAACCUAGUCGGUGGAGUAGGGCACUCAAAGGAUGCAAACAUUGGUUUUAAUUUCACCAUUGCCGGUGGUCCUCCACCGACCAGACAGAGUUUCCGACCAAAAGUUUCAUUUCCUGUUGUCAGUCGACAUUUGAAAGCUAACUUGAACUCCCAUGGGACAUUGUUUUCCUCUGGAAGUGAUAGCCACAUGGUUCCUGUUGCUUCACAUGUAUCAGGUCCCAUGAAACGCAAAAGAAGCAUGGAUCAGCCUCAUAUGUUGGAAGUUGAUAAUGCAACCUCCAAUAAUGUUGAUGCAUCCACCAUCGGGGCAAAGCAUGACCAGCCAGGAGACAAUUCUGAAAAGAGCAUAGCAAACUCGGAAAUGAGCACCGAACAGAAACAAGACGGCUCACAUUCAAACAUAAAUAAGGAUACCAAUAUGGAUGAGGCCUCCAAUGAAGAACCAGAAACAGGUUCUACUGCAAGAAAAACUAUAAGAAGCACAGAAGCAGCACUUGAUCAACAUGGAUUAGAAUCCAACUUUCCGCCAGUUCACGGUGCUAGUGAAGAACCUUCUUCUAGUGGUGAGAAAUUGGUAGAGACAGAUGCAAAGAACUCGAGGCCAACAGAGGUUGGCACACUCACAAAAUCAUUUGUCAAUAGGGAAAAAGGUGCAUACGAACCAUCAGCAAAACAAGGACUGUAUGACAGAAUGAAUGAGUUUGAUCCUAUCAAGCAGCACCGGACAUUCUGCCCUUGGACUUCCCCUGAUGAUGGUGAACCCUUGCCUGGAUGGAGGCUGAGUCUCUCGGCAUUACUUGCUCAUGAUAAAAGAUCUGAUGGGGACUCACGUGUGGAGUUUCAGACCAGCCUUCUCGAUGAGGGGGAUGAUCCUAUUACAUCUGUUAGAAAGCUUUUCAUGACACCACCUCCCAAAAGGCAUCUGAUACAUCAAUCAGAGAAGAGCUGAGAACUGUUUUCACUUGUUCGAAAAGCUGUGGUCAAACCAGUUAGGGGCGGCAGCAUGAAAAUGAUUUGUGACUUGUUCCAGACUGACACUGCCACACAACAUCAGAAUCUUGCUGUAAAGACCAUUGAGUUUUCACUCCUUUUUUCGGUGGUUAAAGAAUUUGGAGAUCGACAACUAGUUUGCAGAUUAAUUGUCUCUUCCACUUAUGUAUUGCAACUGAAGGCAGUUGUAUCAUCUCCAUCAGAUGCAUCCAGCAUGGUUCUAAGGCGAAACUUCUGUUUGGCGUUCGUGCGCUCCACACACAACUCCCAUACUCAACGCU